UGCUCCACCAAACCUUUUUAGGUUUCGUUUUUCUAAUCUUAGAUUGGUGGGAAUUGCAGCUGCAGACUGACUCCAAUUGGGGAUGCCAUUUCCAGAAUCUGAGUUUCAUUUCAACCUCCUAAUUUAAUCUUAGUUGAUUCACCACUCUCGCAAUCUCCAGUCACGCAUUCUCCCUUUCUCCCUGACCUCGAAUCUUGUGCAUGUGCAGCUCCAGGGGGGAAAAUUAAUUUCUGGUUGUUUGAACUAACGAGGUUUUGUUGCGCGUUGCUUUCUCUGCAUUGUAUUGUAUUCCAUGGAGGAAUCUUACACCGGCCUUCCCACUAGCCACUUGCUCGGUUCAGAUCCUGAGGAACUAACAUUUCAACAUGUGAGAUUGCCUAUGUGAAUCUAUUAAAAGGGGAGAGAAGAUGAAGAUAAUUUUUUGGCUACUCUUGUAGUCAUCAUGAUGUGUUUGUUGCAUUCAUAAAGUUAUUUUAAUUUACAUAAUAUGGAUUGACUUGUUAGAUCUGAUGAAAUAUAUGUUAUUUAGUUUGAGCAUUUUGCUUUUUGACAAUGACUUAAAUGCAGAUUGUGAUGAGUUAUUGUUGUGAUUCAUGGUUCUGUUUGGACGUUAAAAUUGUGAUUUUUGUUUUAACAAUAGAAUUUGAGUAUUUUGUGGAGUUGAUUCAUGGUCUGCUUGGAAGUUAAAAAUUAACAGGCCAAUGGGCCGGGCCAGGCCAUUUAUUUUUUUUAUAAAUGGGCCAAGACAGGCUAACAGUUAGACUCAUACUAUGCUAUUGGGCCGGGCCAAAUUGAAAGUUUUUGACAUAGGCUUGGGCUUUACGGGGCAAAGCUCGGCCCAGCCCAGCCCACUUUCACCCCUAAUGCUUAGGAUUGCUUCUUGAUAAAUGACAAAAAAAAGAAAAGAAAUCACUGUUUCGAUCACUAUAGAAAAUCAUGGUUUUUUACUAUAUGUCAAUUUCGAAAAUUAAAUGGUAUGAGUAGUUGGAAGGUGAUUUGUAUGCGAGUUCCUUUGUUAAAUAUGAUUGGGAUUGGUUCUCGUAAAAGGAAAAAUUAUGAAAUUGCCAUUUAGAACACUUUGAUAAAUUAGACUAAAAAUCAAGUGCAGGUGUCUUGUAUAUGUAGUCUUCAAAAUUGAAUGUGGUAGACUAGUAUAUAUGUACUGAUUGUCUUCACAUAUUUGGAAUAGGCUGUGAUAUUGUGAGAGAUUAUGGUUAUGACCCCUUGGAUACAAGGAGUGCAUUAGAGGACAAUGCUUGACAGGUACAUGAGCUGAUGAUGCUGAGGCAUCGCAUAACAAGAAGCCAGAAGAGAGAUAUCACCUGACCUGAUAGUCAGGAUUAACUUGUCGUUUUGAUAUAUACUUGGCAGGGUCCUAUUUUGGAUAUGUAUAUAUUCUAUGUUAUUUUUUUGGAGAGCAUAGAGAGUGUCAAUGUCAUGUCAAUAGUCUGUACAUGCUGUUAGUGAUGCAUGCUUAGGUCUAUGUUACUUAUUUAAUUGCAUCUCUUUUGUUUAUUUGAUGUAAUUAUAUAAGUAACAUCAUUGACAUUAUUUUGAGACAGUAUGAUUAUGAGAUAGCCUAGGCCAUGGAUAGUUGGGCAAUAUGUUUUAUCUAUGUUGUGGUAUG